GCCCUUUUAGCUCAGUGGUUAGAGUGUCAGCCCUUGGACUGAAGAGUCUCGGGUUCGAUUCCAGUCAAGGGCC
rnacentral:tRNA from 1 species